GUAUAGGCCGUUCCAAGAUGCUGUCAAAAUUAAAUCAAUAUGGCUACCGGAAGGCAAACAUUGAAUAUUAUUCUAUCAGGUUCUUAUGGUUUUAGAUCAUUUUAGUUGUUGUACAAAGAUUAAUUUAACAUUUUCUCUGGAAGUAUUAAUUUAGAAAGAUAAUAUGCCUCAUUGGUGUUGUGUUUUGAAGUGUGAAAUGCAAAGUAAUCGUGAUAAAGUUAGCUUUUACCACUUACCAUCAGUGCUACAUUCUAAGCACAAAACUGAACCAAUUUAACUAAAUAAGUUAUAGUUAUCAUCUGAGAGACAACAACAAUGGUAAAAUGCAAUAAAAUAUUAAGAUUUUACUAGCAAAAUGGAAAUUCCCCUGUAAUCAUCUUAUAUCUGGAAAACCAGCCGACUUAACUGAUAAUAACAAUCCAGAUUGGGUUCCUUCAAUACAUAUGGGGUAUAUAAACACAAUGAAAUGAGUUCCCCAAAAUCUAAAAUGGGAAUUAAGGUACCAAAGGAGAAUUAAAAGAAAAGGGUACCUACAAGAAAAAAUUGCUUUUUUAUUCCUCUUGAAAUGAUUUAUAAGACACUGGACUGUCUUAUAUUCUACAAAUACUAGGUAGGUCUAUGAUUUUACACAUUUUUCAUUAAUGAUACAUUACUGUUACUUUAGUAGAUUUAGAAACAGUGGAUAGUUAGUGGUAGAUAGCAGUUAUUUGGUAUAAAAGCUAGUUUAGUAGAAGACAAGAUUUUGCCAAAUAGUCAAACAUAUAUUACAAUGGAAAAAUUAACAAAUACAUUUUAUGUCAUUAACAUUAACACAGGAUUUUAAAUAUCAGCUUAAGAAAUUAGCUUUAUCUUGUGAAAGUAUAGAAAAUGAUGAUGCCAAAACUAAAAAUUAUACUGGUUUAGCAAAUUACAAUGUUUUUAAAAUAGCUUUAAAGUAUAUUACACCAUUUAUCAAAUACCAUCAAAAUACUGUUUUGUCACCAAGUGAUCAAGUAUUGCUUACUUUAGCUAAACUAAGCUUAAACUUAGAUUAUAAAGAUUUGGGAUAUAGGUUUAGUAUUUCACCCUACCUGGUAUCAACUUAUUUCAAAAAUACUUUGUAUAUAAUGUGUCUUAGGUUAAAAAAAUUUGUGUUCUGGCCUGAUAGAGAUAUUUUAAAGAAAACUAUGCAAAAUUCACUUAAAGAAUCUUUUCAUGGAAAUACUACAGGUAUAAUUGACUUUGGACGAAUGUUGGUAUGAAACGAAUUAUUUAUUGUUCUGAAGCUAGUUAUUUGAGGCAUUUUUGUAAUUAACUAUUCUAAUUGGGAAAUAAGCCACAAUUUAACUUAAAAAAUAAUUUUAUUAAUCUUUCGACUUCCAAAUCAGACGUCAUUGUCAAAAUACAAAAUAUUAUUAUUUAUGCAUAUUAUUACCUGUAAAUAUUUCUUCUGAUUGUUAAUUGUAAAGGAUAGAAAAAUUACCAUUUAUUUUAUUUUUUUUAGAAUCAGCUGAGAGAAGUGGUCUACAAAAACCCAGGAAGGAAACGGAAUAUGUGGCUACGAAAGGCAAAAGAAAGGUUUACAAAGCAAAUGUGACACAUUUUUUUGAAAUAUUUAGGAAUAUCAGUAAAUUGCAUUAAAAAAAUGUAUGAAAAGAUUUUGUUCAAUAAAAAUGUUUAUAUUUA
rnacentral:lncRNA from 1 species